rnacentral:rRNA from 1 species
AAUCAACGCUGGCGGCGUGCCUCAGACAUGCAAGUCGAACGCGAAAGUUUCCUUCGGGAAGCGAGUAGAGUGGCGCACGGGUGAGUAACACGUAAGUAAUCUACCUCGGGGUGGGGAAUAACAUCGGGAAACCGAUGCUAAUACCGCAUAAUGCAGCGGCUUCUUAUGAAGACAGUUGUUAAAGCAUUUAUGUGCCUGGAGAGGAGCUUGCGGCAGAUUAGCUAGUUGGUAAGGUAAUGGCUUACCAAGGCAACGAUCUGUAGCCGACCUGAGAGGGUGGUCGGUCACACUGACACUGAAUAACGGGUCAGACUCCUACGGGAGGCAGCAGUCGGGAAUUUUGGGCAAUGGGCGCAAGCCUGACCCAGCAACGCCGCGUGAAGGAUGAAGUAUUUCGGUAUGUAAACUUCGUAAAAUAGGAAGAGUAAUGACGGUACUAUUUGUAAGGUCCGGCUAACUACGUGCCAGCCGCCG